CCUACGGGUGGCAGCAGUGAGGAAUAUUGGUCAAUGGACUCAAGUCUGAACCAGCCAUGCCGCGUGCAGGAAGACGGCUCUAUGAGUUGUAAACUGCUUUUGUACUAGGGUAAACGCAGAUACGCGUAUCUGUCUGAAAGUAUCCUACGAAUAAGGAUCGGCUAACUCCGUGCCACCAGCCGCGGUAAUACGGAGGAUUCAAGCGUUAUCCGGAUUUCUUGGGUUUAAAGGGUUCGUAGGCGGUCGGAUAAGUUAGAGGUGAAAUCCCGAGGCUCAACUUCGGAAUUGCCUCUGAUACUGUUAGGCUAGAGAGUAGGUGCGGUAGGCGGAAUGUAUGGUGUAGCGGUGAAAUGCUUAGAGAUCAUACAGAACACCGAUUGCGAAGGCAGCUUACCAAGCUACUUCUGACGUUGAGGCACGAAAGCGUGGGGAGCAAACAGGAUUAGAUACCCUUGUAGUC
rnacentral:rRNA from 1 species